GCUGUUUAGCUACGUGCGGAUCCGAUAAGCGCUGAAAGCAUCUAAGUGCGAAACGGACCUCAAGAUGAGGUUUCCCAUCCCUUCGGGGAGUAAGAGCCCUUGCUAGACGACAAGGUUGAUAGGCCGGAGCUGUAAGUGCAGCAAUGCAUUCAGGCGACCGGUACUAAUAGCUCGAGGACUUGGUUUU
rnacentral:rRNA from 1 species